rnacentral:rRNA from 1 species
CAUAGCCGCGGUAAUACGAAGGGGGCUAGCGUUGCUCGGAAUUACUGGGCGUAAAGGGCGCGUAGGCGGACAGUUCAGUCGGGGGUGAAAGCCCGGGGCUCAACCUCGGAAUUGCCUUCGAUACUGGCUGUCUUGAGUAUGAGAGAGGUGUGUGGAACUCCGAGUGUAGAGGUGAAAUUCGUAGAUAUUCGGAAGAACACCAGUGGCGAAGGCGACACACUGGCUCAUUACUGACGCUGAGGCGCGAAAGCGUGGGGAGCAAACAGGAUUAGAUACCCCUGUAGUCCCUGUCUCUUAUACC